GUGCAGUCCUGGAAGUCAGAAGGCAGCAUGGGGCUCAGCAGGCUUCCGCCAAGGUGCCAGCUGUGCUGUGUGCCUCUCCGGAGGCUCUCAGAGAGAGCACUUUCUGUCCUCGUCAGCUGCUGGAGCUGCUCACACGGGCUUGUGCCCCUUCCUCCACCUUUGAGGCAGGUGGUGGGUGACAGAGUUACUCAUGCUUCCUUCUCUGACACUGAAACUUAUGCUUUCUUCUCCAUUUAAGGACCUUUAUGACAACAUCAGGCUCACCCAGAUGAUCCAGGAUAAUCUACUUCAGCGUCAGAGGAUUCGGGCUAGACCCAUGGCUUGGAGGUUAAGGGAGCCACAUACAUAGUCAGCUUUGGUUUGAAUCCUGGCCCUAGCAGCUUCAGGAACAUAGCAGGUUUUUCUUGUUUACGGAAGUGAUAGAAGUUAAUCAUAGAAACAUGUGACAAAUAUGGAAAACCACAAAGAAGAAGCAAAUGGCAUAUUACUCUACCAUUCUGAGCCAACCCUUUGGGGAUCACAUGCUGGUCACAGGGAAUAACAGCCACCUUCCACCUCAUCUGCAACAUUCCUUCCAUCCAGCCCAGGGUAUUAUGGAAAGGAGGGGGUGAGAGAGAGAGAGACAGACAGACAAACAGAAAGAGAGGCAGCCUCCUCCUACUGUGAUCCACCACCGAUCUCAGCUGGCUUGGAUCAUGGGCACACGUGUGCAUUCCCAGCAGGCUCAGAGGGGUUCCGGGACGUGAACCCAGGACCUUUCCCAUGUGAGUUUAGUUAUAUUACUGCUGUGCUGACCCCAGCGUUCAUGAUGUAUUAUUAGGUGAGCAAAGUAAGCUGUGGAAUAAGGUUCUUAUGCUUCCAUACUUACAGAAGGAAACAUCAGAACGCCCUGAGUGUGCACAUAGGCAGCCAUGUCUAAUUGUGUAAGUCUGGAUAGAGGCAUUAUCUCAGGGAAGUAAGAACAGAGGAAUUUUAGAAAAAGAAAUAACUUCAUUUAUAUAAGCAUGCAUUGUUUUAUUUAGUUAAAUAAGCAUUAAUUUCUGCAACUUGAAAUUUGGUUUUUACAUACAUUAAAGGAACUAUUUAUUAAAUCAGAUAACACCAGGAAGAAGAAGCCAUAAAAAUGCCAUGAUCAUUUCAUAACCUAUUCUAUAAUGUAGAACUGUAUUUUAAAGUCACCUGAAGAAAAGUAUUAAAGCUCUUCCCUCAUGGAUCUUUGGGAGAAGUGACAGCACAGCAUGUCAGUACAGGGCCUGUGUGUCCCCAGUCAUCACCGCAUGUGUGCAGGGCACUUUUAGCUCCAUUUGAGAAGUCACGGGCCAGCUCCAUCCACCUCAUCCUCUUCUUUCCCAAAGCUGGAUUUUUCAGCUCCACUGACACUUAAUGUCAUAUUCCCUCUGUCACUUCACAAAAUCUAUGGCCCUGACCCUCUUCGAAACAUGUCACUUCACAUACGGCAAGCUUUUAGCUUUGUGGUUUUGAGUGUUGACCCUAUCGCUGAGUGCCUGGCUUUAACUCCCAGCUCAGCUACGUGUGAGCUGCUUGACUCGGGCAAGUUACUUAAUCUCUCUGCACGUCACGGAAUGGGCCCGCUACACACAGGGUCUUGGGAGAAUUAAACAAGUCAGUACAUGUGGCAGCAUGUCCGCAUAUAUUGUUACAUGGCCUGCUGUCACUAGCACUCAUCUUUCCGGGAUCCGUUUUGGCACUGCCUUUAUCUAGGACACAGUCUUUCCUGAACUCCCAGGAGUAAUUGGCUACUCCUUCCUUCCUGCUCCACAGGCAGCCUGCACAGUUGGCUGGCUACCCUUUAUUAUGUAAUCCUAUCUACCUACCAUCUAUCUAUCUAUCUACAUCUAUUUAAUUUUAAU